UACGUAGGGUGCAAGCGUUAAUCGGAAUUACUGGGCGUAAAGCGUGCGCAGGCGGUGCUGUAAGACAGGCGUGAAAUCCCCGGGCUCAACCUGGGAAUUGCGCUUGUGACUGCAGUGCUGGAGUGCGGCAGAGGGGGAUGGAAUUCCGCGUGUAGCAGUGAAAUGCGUAGAUAUGCGGAGGAACACCGAUGGCGAAGGCAAUCCCCUGGGCCUGCACUGACGCUCAUGCACGAAAGCGUGGGGAGCAAAC
rnacentral:rRNA from 1 species